GAUGAACGCCAGCGAUAGGCUUAACACAUGCAAGUCGAGGGGCAGCACAAGGUAGCUUGCUAUCUGGGUGGCGACCGGCGCACGGGUGCGUAACGCGUAUGCAACUUGCCCUAUACAGGAGGAUAACCCGUCGAAAGACGGACUAAUACUGCGUAUGCUCACAACUUGGCAUCAAGUGGUGAGGAAAGAAAUUCGGUAUAGGAUAGGCAUGCGUCCCAUUAGCUUGUUGGUGAGGUAACGGCUCACCAAGGCAACGAUGGGUAGGGGAACUGAGAGGUUUAUCCCCCACACUGGUACUGAGACACGGACCAGACUCCUACGGGAGGCAGCAGUGAGGAAUAUUGGUCAAUGGGCGCGAGCCUGAACCAGCCAAGUCGCGUGAAGGAUGACUGUCUUAUGGAUUGUAAACUUCUUUUAUACGGGAAUAACAAGAGUCACGUGUGACUCCCUGCAUGUACCGUAUGAAUAAGCAUCGGCUAACUCCGUG
rnacentral:rRNA from 1 species